GGGCUGGGGCUCAGUGGCAGAGCACUUGCCUAGCAUGCGUGAGGUCCUGGGUUCGAUCCUCAGCACCACG
rnacentral:tRNA from 1 species